rnacentral:rRNA from 1 species
CGUGUAGGCGGGCAAUCAAGUCAGAUGUAAAAGGCGACGGCUUAACCGUAGUAUGUCAUCUGAUACUGGUUGUCUUGAGUUCGAGAGAGGGUGGUGGAAUUCCCGGUGUAGCGGUGAAAUGCGUAGAUAUCGGGAAGAACACCUGAAGCGAAGGCGGCCACCUGGAUCGACACUGACGCUGAGGCGCGAAAGCGUGGGUAGCAAACA